UCUCUGAUCUGAAUAUAUUUUAAUCUACUUUUGAAUCGACAAGUUAUAGCAAUACAUUGCAAAUCACGAAGGAAGUCUUAGAGUUGGUUCUAUCCUUUGUGUAAAAGGGCUGAAUUGGGCUCAUCCCGUUACAGAAUCUGUGGCAUAUUACUAUCCAGAAAUUCUUUUAUGUCAAAUAGAAGCAGCUAAACUGGUAUGA
rnacentral:lncRNA from 1 species